UGAUUAAUUGUAACAAUAUUUUAUUUAAAUAUUCCUCAAUCUCCAAUUCACAAAAAUCUUCAAUAACAAAAUUUUAUCAUCAAACAAUAACUGCUUAUAAAAAUAUAUAUAUAUCUUGUUAACACAUGGAUUAAAUAAAUAAUUUAUUUAUACCAAUGCUUAUUUAUUGCACUUAACACUAAUUAAAUUGUAUUUAACAAAUAUAUAAUAAUCUAACACGCACUUUUCGAUCGUCCGCCAUGACACAUUGGAUUGCUCCCUCAUCUAUAUCUCACUCGUCAUACGUUCUUAAAAUUCAUGUACGGUCUCAUUCAUUCUACUCACAUUGUUUCGAAUCCAAUCAAAAUCUAGAUAAAUAAUUCUUCGCGACCAAUCUUAGCAAAGAAAAAAUUUCCCCAAAUACCAUUGUUCUCAAAUCGUGCAAAUCUACCAUUUAAAUUAUUCCAUCUUGUAUCACUAUCCUCGUACGAACAGAAGCAAUUUCUCACGUCUUUGGAUUAGUCUGAGAGAGGACCACACCCAAACAGCUCGAAUCAUCUCGGACAAAACACAAUUAUUAAUCCGAAAACGGUGAAUCUCGCAUCCGGCACGUUUCUCCCUCCCUCCGGACCUCUUCCAAAGCGAUUCGUCAUCGAACCUCUCCUUGGACCGGCGAUAAUUUCGUACAGUAGAGGUUGGGUAUCGGUGGAACGUCGCGGAUCCGACAUUAUCGUUGCAUGAUUUAGGUGGCUCCGUUUUCACCGUUCGCUUUCGUGGAAAUUUAAUGGUGGUGGGCGGACUACGGUGGUUUAAUGGAGAGAGGGCGAGAGUGGAUAAGUUACACGUGGCUAGUAUUCCACGCACGCGACCGCGGAAAUAGAUACGCGUGAAAACGUGCACGAAUGUUCGCGGAAUCGGCAGGGAUGAUAAAUGUACUGAGACUAAUGGCGAUCAGACUUGGUUAAUCUUUAUGGUUACUUUAUUUAAAAAAGAAAUUUUUAUUGGUUAUGGAAGUGAAUGAAAAAUAUAAAAGAAGUUUCUUUCUUGAUUUUUGCCGGCGCAGUUGCCGGGUGUUCGAUCCUCGCAUAACCGUGGCAAAUUGGCCCACUUCUGUCCAGGGAUUCGCUUUUCGCGGUGAGAAAGUUUCUCCUCCCUCCCUCUUUCCCCUUUUUGCGAGUUUCCCAACCAAACAACACGGGGCGAGGAAGGGAAAAGGAGGGGAAAAAAAGAGCAUCGCGGAUGGUCAUUAUGAUGUCGCCAAGAGACAAGGAGGGGGCCGCAGCUCCUCGAAAGUUUCCCCGAGACGGGUAAACAAUUUAUCAAGGCUAGUGGAAGCGGGGGAAAAAAGCAUAAAGGGAAAAUUGCGUGGCCUUGGUCUCGCGCCUUGGGCCCUUAUCGCUUCUGGGCUCGUCCCUCGACUUUUCCCAGUUUCGACGAGUUUUAUCUGCGCGAGCAAGCAAGUUGGAGAAUGGAGAAGUUGAAGAAACGGAACGAAAGAAGGAGGCUCGAGAGCAGACCUGUCCUUUUUUUUUUAUUUAUUUAAUUAUUUAUUUACGAGGAGACAAAAGCACCAUCGUGAAAGUAAAAAUUCUUCGAAAAAUUCUGAUCGAGUCAAGAUUAUCUUCAUAUAAUAAAAAAAAUUCUUCAUAUUGUUAUCCAAUUUUUCUUAAGCCCCAAUCUCACGAGAGACAGAUGGCCACGUGGGCCAUCUUUCGUCGAUUUAAAAACCGUUUAAACAGGGAGGGAACACGCGAAAGGCGACACAAUGAAACGAGGCGAGGCUGCAAUUACCACGCUCGUUUACGUCGGUGCACGCUUUAAUAAAGCGGGGUAUAAUCGCGGGAGGAAAGGGUGAACUCG
rnacentral:lncRNA from 1 species